GGGCAUGGUGGCUCACGCCUAUAAUCCCAGCACUUUGGGAGGCUGAGGCUGGUGGAUCAUUUGAGGUCAGGAGUUCGAGACCAGCCUGGCCAACAUGGUGAAACCCUGUCUCUACCAAAAAUACAAAAAAAACAAUGUACCGGGCAUGGUGGCACGCAUCUGUAAUCCCAGCUACUCGGGAGGCUGAGGCACGAGAAUCGCUUGAACUCAGGAGGUGGAGGUUGCAAUGAGCCAAGAUCCCACCACUGCCCUCCAGCCUGGACUAUAGAAUUGAGGAAAGCAGUUGCCCCUCCUAAUGUGGGUGGACUUCAUCCAAUCCACGGAAGACCUGAAUAGAGCAAAAGUCGGUCCUUUCCGAAGUAAGAGAGAAUUCCUCCUGCCUGAAGGUUUUUAAACUGCACCAUUGGCUUUUUUCUGCCUUUGUACUCAGACUGAAACACUGCUCUUUCCGGGUUUCGAGCCUGCUGGCCUUAGGACUGGAACUAACACCAUCAGUUCUCUGGGGUCUCCAGUUUGCUGCCUCGCCCUGCAGAUGACAGCACUUGUUAGCCUCCAUAAUUG
rnacentral:lncRNA from 1 species